rnacentral:lncRNA from 1 species
AUGCAAGCGGCAAGCUUUCGCACAGCCGGCGACUGUCCCUGUAGGUCGGGGAUCUCACCUCUGGAUGCCGGUCGGUCGGAACAAGUCAACUGUCUCGGUGUUCCCUCCAACAGAACUCCCUAUUUAAAGCGCCCUCCCUUCCUGCCUGGCUGGGUGUGUGCAUGUGUGCUCCUUUGUGUGCGCGUGUGCGAGUGUGUAUGCGAGUGCAGCCUGCCAGCGUUGCGUUAUCUGUCUUCAAUUAGUGACCCAAAAUGUCAGCCUGAAGGAAACAGGGCAGUGGGCUCCGCGGAGGAUCCUGACACAGUGUGCCAAGGGCACAUUUGCCCCCCCAACACCCAGCAGUCUUCCUCCUCCACCUUCCAUUCCGGCUUUGCUUGGGGUGGGGGCCCCUGCGCUGCUGGAUUUCUGGCCCACAUUUUCCCUGCACAAGUGGAGCUGCCCUUCCUCUGGAGCCCUGCAACGGUUUCCCCCCCUACGUCAGCAACGGCGGCGCGCCCACCUCCGACAGGAGCCUACGCGCAGCGCCAGUGCCGGGAGGAAACCCUCGCCCUCCCGGGCUUCUUCCUGCGCAGCCACUGAAUGGGCAGUGAUGGGGGGACAGGUCAUCCGGGACCGAGGGACACCCACACAGCUCAUCCCAUGGAAAGAGAAGCUGCACUCCAAAACAGCGAACGCCCGAUGACCCCCAACCCCCACCCCCCAGCAGUCUCCACCUGGAACAGCUGCACCAGGCCUGCACACAAUCAGCUGGUAGACCUGCACUAAGUGUGUAAAACGCACACACUGUGUGCCCUUCACAGGGGAACUUGCGUACCUCCUAUCCCCGAACUCCCCUAACUCCCUCUCACUGCACUCUCUUCAAGCAGCAAGCCAGUAAAAUGCACACUGCCUUUUCGCCCUGCAUUAAGAAACCAGCCAGCAUCCGGAGUUAAUGCGUGCGUCCGUGUUCCUCAUAUCCUUGAGAAUCAGAAGCCUGAAAGUGUUAUCUAAUUCCACAUCUCUAAUAGCCUGCAGAGGCUCCUUAAUGAAGGCAACAAGUGCUUGGUUAUUCCACAUGUUUAUAACCAUAACAGCCUGCAGAACCUCAAAAAUGAACAGACAUCAUUAGCUGCAGUAUUUUCAACUCUUACACCAAGGCCUCUGAAUCCGGAGGUUUAUAUCAGUUUGUAUCGCGGAAGGGUGUUUUUGCAAUUUGAUAGCUUCGCAUCAGAUCUGCCGUUGUUACUAUUCCUACAUGCAAUCUGCAUUUACGUAAAUAUGACCGUUUUAGCGGUCAGAGAAGGUGUCAGAUAAAAGUGUCAGAAAAAGGACACUUGCCAUAAACAUGAAGUUUUGAAAUGUUGAAGAUUUAUGUUGACGCGAGAGAAGCUGUGAGUCUGUGGUUCCGGAAGUUACCGCAAAUCAUGGGAGAAAAAGCUUAGCCAGCAGUGUGCAUACAUUUCCUAAAUGAGAUGGCUGGAAAAUAAGAGUUAAAAAAUGCCUUAGCCACAAUUUUUCAGUCAAACCAAUGAAAUGAAUGGAGAAAGAGGACUUUUUUUUUUUUUUUCUCAGCAAGUUCAGAAAACAAAAGAAACUUGAUCAUCUACCUAGGACAUACCAAAUUCAUAAGUAAUACAAUCUGUCCCAAUUCACAGAAUAAUACCUUCGGAGCAGCAUUUGCACAGAGUGCGGACAGUAUUUCUAUUGCGGAGGAAGAAUGGGCCACAGAAACGGACCUGAAUAAAGGCUCCGACACCCACCGUGUGAAUGUUUUU